AGCGAACGCUGGCGGCAGGCUUAACACAUGCAAGUCGAGCGGGCAUAGCAAUAUGUCAGCGGCAGACGGGUGAGUAACGCGUGGGAACGUACCUUUUGGUUCGGAACAACACAGGGAAACUUGUGCUAAUACCGGAUAAGCCCUUACGGGGAAAGAUUUAUCGCCGAAAGAUCGGCCCGCGUCUGAUUAGCUAGUUGGUGAGGUAAUGGCUCACCAAGGCGACGAUCAGUAGCUGGUCUGAGAGGAUGAUCAGCCACAUUGGGACUGAGACACGGCCCAAACUCCUACGGGAGGCAGCAGUGGGGAAUAUUGGACAAUGGGCGCAAGCCUGAUCCAGCCAUGCCGCGUGAGUGAUGAAGGCCCUAGGGUUGUAAAGCCCUUUUGUGCGGGAAGAUAAUGACGGUACCGCAAGAAUAAGCCCCGGCUAACUUCGUGCCAGCAGCCGCGGUAA
rnacentral:rRNA from 1 species